GUUCCUGAGAGCACAAGCACCCCCAAAUGUGAAGUGCACUCGGACACACACACACACACACACGCACGCACACACAAGCACUCAUGUUCUAAAGAGAGAGGUCUGAGUCCGAAGUUGCUGCUGCUGGGAGCUUGAGCUGAGAUGGACUGGUCUUCAUGGGCGCCCAAGGCGCUGGGUGCAGCUUUCCCCGAGACCCCCAGAUGGAAAGGAGGGAAGGAGGAACCCCACACACUCGCCUUUUGCGAGAAGAUCGGCGCGCACCCCAGAGUGCCCCAAGCCUUUGGAAUCUGCCUGCUGAGCGGAGCGCGCGAGCGUGGUGGACAGGUCCCGAACUUGGCCAGCGGGCUUUCUUGGCAACUUGCUUUGCGCAGUUCUCCAUGGAACCCUGGACCCACUGUGCUCCCGGCGCCUUGCCUUUUUUUUUCUUUUUCUUUCUCUCACUGUCUCUUUUUAAAUUUAUGAACUCGAAAUGAAGCGGAAAGCAGAUAUGCGCGUCAGCAUACUUUGGCGGGAUGCUGGCCCACCACUAGUAUUCUCUGGUGCUCGUUGUGCUUUGGGAGAUCUUCUAUGCAACAUGGAAACCAUGAAUUGUACCACAGAGGGAGAUCUUCUGUCCCACUAGGAAACUGCGAAUUGUACCACAGAGGGAGAUCUUCUAUGCAACAUGGAGACCAUGAAUGGUACACACAGAGAGAGAUCUUCUAUCCACAUGGACACCAUGAAUUGUACCACAGAGGCAGAUGUUCUAUCCAACAUGGAAACCAUGAACUGUACACACAGAGGGGGAUAUUCCAUCCAACAUAGGAACCAUGAACUGUACACACAGAGGGAGAUCUUCUAUCCAACAUGGAGACCAUGAAUUUUACCACAAAGGAAGAUGUUCUAUCCAAAAUGGAAACCAUGAGUUGUAUGCCUAGAGGGAGAUCUUCUAUCCAAUAUGUAAGCCACGAGUUGGACACACAGAGAGAGAUAUUUUAUCCAACUUGGAAACCAUGAAUUGUACACACAGAGAGAUCUUCUAUCCAACACGGAAACAACGAGUUAUACCCACAGGGGGAGAUCUUCUAUCCAAUUCAGGUGUUCCUUAUGUGAUAGCAUACUCUGCAUCUACAACUAGCUAAAG
rnacentral:lncRNA from 1 species